GGACCCGCACAAGCGGUGGAUGAUGUGGAUUAAUUCGAUGCAACGCGAAAAACCUUACCUACCCUUGACAUGGCAGAAACCUUGGAGAGAUCUGAGGGUGCUCGAAAGAGAAUCUGCACACAGGUGCUGCAUGGCUGUCGUCAGCUCGUGUCGUGAGAUGUUGGGUUAAGUCCCGCAACGAGCGCAACCCUUGUCAUUAGUUGCUACGCAAGAGCACUCUAAUGAGACUGCCGGUGACAAACCGGAGGAAGGUGGGGAUGACGUCAAGUCCUCAUGGCCCUUAUGGGUAGGGCUUCACACGUCAUACAAUGGUACAUACAGAGGGCCGCCAACCCGCGAGGGGGAGCUAAUCCCAGAAAGUGUAUCGUAGUCCGGAUUGUAGUCUGCAACUCGACUACAUGAAGUUGGAAUCGCUAGUAAUCGCGGAUCAGCAUGUCGCGGUGAAUACGUUCCCGGGUCUU
rnacentral:rRNA from 1 species